ACAGUCACAUCACGUUGAAACACCGGUUCCUGUACGAUCACCGAAGUUAAGCAACGUCGAGCUUGAUCAGUAAUUAGAUGGGUGACCGUUUGAGAAUACCAAGUGCUGUAAG